CGUUACUCCCGGCAUUAAGUGUGGCUAAUUUUUUUAUUUUGCGCAUGUUUGCCGGGCAACAACGUCGGAUGGAGGUAAAAGUCGAAGUGCUUGGCGGUCUAGCGAUGAACCAGCCCGUGAGACUUGACGGUUAAUCCGAUAAUCCGCGUAAAUUCUACUCUUUUCUUGUAUUCGACAGUUGGUGUAUGGCCGUGCAGUGCUUCCUGAAAGGGAGUUGCAAAAUCCAGCGUGAAUGUUAUUAGAUUAACUGAACGAAAGUGGAGGAAGACAGGUCGUCAUGCUGCCCAUGAAGGAGGCUUAGUUGAGUCACAAUGAAAACAAAUCAAACGGAGUCGGGGAGGAAGAAACCUGACGAAGAAGUAAUGGGUAGUAAGAAGAGAAUAAUUCGCUUUUCUGAAUCGUGAACUCCUAGGUGUACAAAUCGCCC
rnacentral:rRNA from 1 species